rnacentral:rRNA from 1 species
CAACUGUGUGAAUUAAUGUGAUGUGCAUACUGCUUUGAACAUCGACCUCUUGAACGCAUAUUGCGGCUACGGGAUUCCCCGUGGCCACGUCUGGCCGAGGGUCGGCUUAUAAACUAUCACGACGCCCAAAAAGUCGUGGCUUGGAUGUUGUGCCAGCUGGCGUGAUUUCCCUAGUGUGUAAAAACACGUGGGGUGCCAGAUCUAUGGCUCCAUCCGAAUUUAUCCGGCUACAGCCAAGUCAGUUAGUCUAAUGUUUAGAUUGGAAAGCUGUGGCGGAUUAUGCUCAAGUCGUGGCUCAAUGCUAUGAACACGCUUGAUGUUAUAAUCCGUUGUGGUAAUUAAUUCUAUGUCAUUAGAUUGUUAUAGGCUUUGGUGUUGUUACCGAAGAGAGUAAUUACUCUAAAAAAGGCAAUAAUUGAUGCUGUAAUAAUUGAAGCCUUUUAUAUAGACCCUGACCUCGGAUCAGACGUGAUUACCCGCUGAACUUAAGCAUAUCACUAAGCGGAGGAAAAGAAACUAACCAGGAUUCCCUUAGUAACGGCGAGUGAACAGGGACUAGCCCAGCACCGAAGCCUGUGACCAUUUGGUUACUAGGCAAUGUGGUGUUUAGGUCAUCUCUUGGCGCUAUUGCUCCACCCUAAGUCCAGCAAUGAGUACGGCUUACUGGUAUGGCCCAUAGAGGGUGAAAGGCCCGUGUGGGUGGAGAAC